rnacentral:rRNA from 1 species
GACGAACGCUGGUGGCGUGCUUAACACAUGCAAGUCGAACGGAAAGGCCCUGCUUGUGUGGGGUGCUCGAGUGGCGAACGGGUGAGUAACACGUGAGUAACCUGCCCUUGACUUUGGGAUAACUUCAGGAAACUGGGGCUAAUACCGGAUAGGAGCUCCGGCUGCAUGGUGGGGGUUGGAAAGUUUCGGCGGUUGGGGAUGGACUCGCGGCUUAUCAGCUUGUUGGUGGGGUAGUGGCUUACCAAGGCUUUGACGGGUAGCCGGCCUGAGAGGGUGACCGGCCACAUUGGGACUGAGAUACGGACCAGACUCCUACGGGCGGCAGCAGUGGGGAAUAUUGCACAAUGGGCGGAAGCCUGAUGCAGCAACGCCGCCUGCGGGAUGACGGCCUUCGGUUUGUAAACCGCUUUCGCCUGUGACGAAGCGUGAGUGACGGUAAUGGGUAAAGAAGCACCGGCUAACUACGUG